CUACCAAGAACCUCUUCACAUACAGAGUGUCUCAGGUAAGUCUAACUUUGGAGAUUCUCUACCAGUCAUCUUGGGUGACCUGAGGUAGCCAUAUGAAAUGGCCAGGUCCCAUUAUGGGUAAUAGAAAAGAACAUGAAAAAGUCUAUAUCUUUUUUUUCUCCUGCCAUUUUCCAAAAGUUCAUCUUCAAAAGGCACAACUGUAAUGCCUUCUGCAUUGAGACAUGUCUACAAUACACAUGGUCCAACUGGAUUACCAACUGCACCAUAGACACAGUACCUGACUUAAAUAGCAGAAGAUAAGAAACUUGAAUAUUUGUAGCCUUUGGACACAUUCUUCUGAGAUAGGACAUUCUUUGUUCCCUAAACCUGUAUGGGACAUUAGAGUUUCCUACCCAGUAUGUCCCAGUGCUCAAACUAUUUUGUAUUAUCUUCAGAGUUUUUCUUUCCGUCUUAAUUAAAAGAGUAGUUUUUACAGAGCUACAGAAUAAAUAAAACUCUGACGUAUUUUCACAUUCACACAUUGAACAUUUCACGUAUGUUUGACAGUUCAAUAUUAAACCUAAAUUCCCUUCCCCCACCAUAAAUUAUGAAGCAUAUAUUGCCAUCUAGCGUCCUUCUGAAAUGACGCUUCUGCCAAGAUUAUGAAAUAAAACAUGUUCAGUCAGACAAAGGAGAUGUAAAACUUUUGCAAGGGG
rnacentral:lncRNA from 1 species